AUUGAACCAAACAUUUUCAGCUGUUCUGAAACCGAAAACUCUAAGUUCGGGAAUUUUGAGUCCAGUGACUCUAAGUUCAGGUUUCAACUCUAAAUUUGUUGAACCUGCUUCUUGAAACGGGCCCCUGUUGUUCUCCAUCUAAACAUCCAAAAGUUUCUCUUUUCUUCAGUAGAUUCAUGUAAAUCCAACUGUGUUGUUUAAACUAUUUCACCUCAAAGAAAUGCAAACCUCAGUGUAAGAAAUCUGAAUUAUUUAGAGUUAAAAUGAUCAUAAAGAUCAAACUUUCAUUCAAAAUCUUUUUUGGUUAAUGGUUUAAAUUUACUUAAAACUUAUUUUCCUUGAUUAAAGGUUCAAAGUGUUUGUAGAUUUUUUUCAAUGGAGAACUCUGUUUUGUGCUUAACAAUGACUUCAUUUUUCUGCUGGUUCCUCUCUACAGCUGAUGUUUGUGUUGCUUUUCUCUAAACAAUAUUUCUGUUACAAUUCAUAUUCUUACCAGAGUUUUUCAUCUGUAACUCUAUCACAGGAAACUUAGUUCUAUCCCCAACACUGAGCUUCAGAAACCAACAUUUUCUAAAUGUUCCAGAGUCUCUGUCCUGAUCUUUUAGUAACUGAUCCUUACAGAAUGUGAAUGUGGAGAUCAGCUUCUUCAUUGUCUCCAUCUGCAGUCUUCAUUGAAUCAUCUUCUCUUGUUUCAGAAACACAAACUGCUCUGGUUCAGAGAAAUGUUCUGUUCAGACAGUGUUUUGGCAAUCUGCCAGUCCAGUUUUUCCUCCUCUGUUGGCUCUGCCCUCCUAGCAGGACAUCAGGUGGAGCUCAUCUCUGAUCAGCAGUGUUUGCUUCCACUCUGUACAAAAGAGCUAGUGCAGAUCUUUUCUGUAAGUGAAAAACAGAACCUGUGUGGGAAAAGGAUACCAAUGGAAAAACUGAAGAGACAGCCGGUUUUUCACCUGUGGAUAUUUUUCUAAUGAAACAGUUGACGUUUUCAAGUGAAGCUGUGGAUGUUUCAAGAGAAACUGAGAAACUGUGGAGCUUUAUCAAGAGAAAGCUGAGGAAAAUCCAAAGGAAAGCAAAAGGAAAACUCAAACAAAAGGAAAUCUCAAAGCCAAGAUCAAAUCUAAAGUAAAAAACCAAGCACAAAGAAAGAAAAGAAAGCUCAAGAACUCAGAGGAAAGUACAAGCUCAACUUGAACCUGUUUUUUGCUCGAAGCAAAAACUAAAACAAAACCACUUCAGUAAACCACAACUAAUUGCAAGAACUGACAUCACUGUUUCAACUGAAAAAUAAACAAAAUUCUGAGUGAAAUCCUUCUCAAUCUCUUUAUUCAAGGUAUCCUAUCCUUUCAAGUGUGGGAAUCCACACAGUUAAAAAAAACUGCAGCACUUGACAGACAGAAUGUGAUUCCAACCCAAAGUGUGGUUUUCUCAGAGGAGCAGAGAUCUUUCUGCUUCUGUUUGACUGCAUGAAACCAGCAGAGACCAGAACUGAGACAGAAACUCUGAGAGUGGAAGUGAGCGCUCUGAAUGCUGAAUGUGUCUGUGUUUGGACUCCCAGCAGAACUGUGCUGCUCUCUCAUGUUCCUGUGGUUUCAGGAGGAUCAGAAGAAAACACACUGAUGGACUUCAGGAUAAUUGCACACGUGCACAACUCUACAUUUCCUCUUUCAUGCUGUCACUUCCUGCAUGAAUCUUUCAUCUAAUAACUGCAGGAAUAUUUGUCAUUUUCUUCAGUCAUUUCACACAGCAGUUCACCAAGUUCCUCCACUGCAGACAGAGACAGUCAUGUUGAUGUGAACAUUAGAGAAACUCAUCGUGGAGCUGAAAUAUCAUCCUGAUUCACUCAGAUGACACUUGAACAGCACACAGGUUUUUGUAGCAGACUUUAUCAAUGUGUGGGUACCUCAUCUUUGGAUCUGGAACUCGACUGUUUGUAACGGGUAAGAAGAAACAUUUCUGCUCCUUCAUCUGUUUGAUUGUAGAAAAUGUGUUUCAAGUCAGUUUCUGCUGCUUCAGCUUCACAUGUUAGUUUGUUCAUCAUUAGCAGAGAAUUCAUCAAGCAGCCAUUGUUACAGAAGAAAAGAUGAAUCAUUUCUGCAAACAUGUUGAAAUCUCACUGAACAACUAAAC
rnacentral:lncRNA from 1 species